CCGCGUGAGGGAUGGAGGCCUUCGGGUUGUAAACCUCUUUCGCCAGUGAAGCAGGCCUGCUCCUUGUGGGUGGGUUGACGGUAGCUGGAUAAGAAGCGCCGGCUAACUACGUGCCAGCAGCCGCGGUAAUACGUAGGGCGCGAGCGUUGUCCGGAAUUAUUGGGCGUAAAGAGCUCGUAGGCGGCUGGUCGCGUCUGUCGUGAAAUCCUCUGGCUUAACUGGGGGCUUGCGGUGGGUACGGGCCGGCUUGAGUGCGGUAGGGGAGACUGGAACUCCUGGUGUAGCGGUGGAAUGCGCAGAUAUCAGGAAGAACACCGGUGGCGAAGGCGGGUCUCUGGGCCGUUACUGACGCUGAGGAGCGAAAGCGUGGGGAGCGAACAGGAUUAGAUACCCUGGUAGUCACGCCGUAAACGUUGGGCACUAGGUGUGGGGGCCUUUUCCGGGUCUUCCGCGCCGUAGCUAACGCAUUAAGUGCCCCGCCUGGGGAGUACGGCCGCAAGGCUAAAACUCAAAGGAGUUGACGGGGGCCCGCACAAGCGGCGGAGCAUGCGGAUUAAUUCGAUGCAACGCGAAGAACCUUACCAGGGCUUGACAUGUGCCGGUCGGCUCCGGAGACGGGGUUUCCUCUUGUGGGGUCGGUUCACAGGUGGUGCAUGGGUGUCGUCAGCUCGUGUCGUGAGAUGUAGGGUUAAGUCCGCAAG
rnacentral:rRNA from 1 species